CACCAAUAUUUUCAUUUUAAAUUAUUCAAUUAUCACCACUGAUUUAUCUUAAGUGAUACAUUUAUGUUGUGGUUUUGCCAACAAAUUACAAUGCCGGGGUAAACUUUAACAUUAACAACUUUCGAAAACUGGGUAAAUUUAUUAAUGCACUUCAGACACCUAAUUGUGGGGACAACUGUACUAUAUAACCCGCGAUUUUUAAUGUCUAAUUAUACUAUCACAGAGUUAUAGUAACAAGAAACAACAUGAAGUACUUCUUAAUUUUCGUGACUUUGGCAAUCAUUGUUGGUCUCUGCCUUGCUAAACCCAUUGAUGAUACUGAUCCAACUGAUACUGGCUACAACAGUGAACUGUUUCUCCUUAAGAAGAUUAAGCUUGGAGCUUUACUUGCUAAGAAAGUUAUUCUGCUGAAAAAAUUGGGUUAAACUCUGUGGAUAGUAAUAAAUUUU